rnacentral:rRNA from 1 species
AGUGAACGCUGGCGGUAGGCCUAACACAUGCAAGUCGAACGGCAGUACAGGAGAGCUUGCUCUCUGGGUGGCGAGUGGCGGACGGGUGAGGAAUACAUCGGAAUCUACUUUUUCGUGGGGGAUAACGUAGGGAAACUUACGCUAAUACCGCAUACGACCUACGGGUGAGAGCAGGGGACCUUCGGGCCUUGCGCGAUUGAAUGAGCCGAUGUCGGAUUAGCUAGUUGGCGGGGUAAAGGCCCACCAAGGCGACGAUCCGUAGCUGGUCUGAGAGGAUGAUAAGCCACACUGGAACUGAGACACGGUCCGUACUCCUACGGGGGGCAUCAUUGGGGAAUAUUGGACAAGGGGCGCGAGCCGGAUCCAGCCAUACCGCGUGGGUGAAGAAGGCCUUCGGGUUGUAAAGCCCUUUUGUUGGGAAAGAAAUCCAGCUGGCUAAUACCCGGUUGGGAUGACGGUACCCAAAGAAUAAGCACCGGCUAACUUCGUGCCAGCAGCCGCCGUAA